CGAAAGCCUGACGGAGCAAUACCGCGUGAGGGAGGAAUGCCUUUGGGUUGUAAACCUCUUUUCUCAGGGAAGAAGAUCUGACGGUACCUGAGGAAUAAGUAUCGGCUAACUCCGUGCCAGCAGCCGCGGUAAUACGGAGGAUGCAAGCGUUAUCCGGAAUCAUUGGGCGUGAAGCGUCCGCAGGUGGUUUCCAAAGUCUGCUGUUAAAGACUGGAGCUCAACUCCGGAACGGCGGUGGAAACUUGGAAACUAGAGUUCGGUAGGGGUAGCAGGAAUUCCCAGUGUAGCGGUGAAAUGCGUAGAUAUUGGGAAGAACAUCGGUGGCGAAGGCGUGCUACUGGACCGCAACUGACACUCAGGGACGAAAGCUAGGGUAGCGAAAGGGAUUAGAUACCCCUGUAGUCCUAGCCGUAAACGAUG
rnacentral:rRNA from 1 species